CCGGGCUUUUGAUACGCUUGUGG
rnacentral:siRNA from 1 species